rnacentral:lncRNA from 1 species
UUACAGUAGGACCCCUGUUGACAAAGUUUACUCUGGUGCAGCGCUUCCAGGUCUAUUUUCAACGUUCUCCACGUUUGGAACAUUUUGCAGUAACACAAGCAGCGCCGCAAUUAUAAGUCAGCCACCAAGCAGUUGGAGUUAUUGGCUGACUGUGCAAGCGACGGCAGAAAUGUUUCGAACAAGAAACUUCAUACAGUUCACGAUGGAAGACAUAGAAAAAAUGAAAAACACC